GAGUGCGACCAUACCAGCAGUAAUGCACCCGAUCCCAUCAGAACACCGUAAUGAAGCGUGCUGAGGCAAGAGUAUUACUAGGACGGAAAAUAACGAAGUAGAUCUCA
rnacentral:rRNA from 1 species